rnacentral:rRNA from 1 species
GACGAACGCUGGCGGCGUGCUUAAUACAUGCAAGUCGAACGGAAAGGCCCUGCGUUUGUGGGGUGCUCGAGUGGCGAACGGGUGAGUAACACGUGUGUAACCUCCCCCUGACUUUGGGAUAACUUCAGGAAACUGCGGCUAAAACCGGAUAGGAGCUCCUGCUGCAUGGGGGGGGAUGGUAAGUGUCGGCGGUUCGGGCUGGAUUCGCAGGUUAUCCGCCUGUUUGGGUGGUAGUGGCUUACCACGGUUUUGACGGGUAGCCGGCAUGAGAGGGUGACCGGGGCCAUUGGGCCUACGGUACGGACCAGAAUGCUACGGGAGGCAGCGGUCGAGAAUAUUGCACAGUGGGCGCAAGCGAGAGGCAGAGGCGCCGCGUGCGGGAUGACGGCCUUCGAGUGAUAAACAGAUUUCGAAUGUGACGAGGAGUGAGUGACGGUAAUGGGUCAGGAAGCACCGGCUAACUACGUG